AUGCUGGAAGGGGCAGCAAACGCCCGGCCCCGCGGGACCGUCGGAGGCACGGGGACCCUGCCGCCUGCGAGCCCCCCCCCCCCGCUGCCCCUCCCUGGCCGCGCAGCCGGCGGCAGCUUCCAGCCCUCCCGCCGUGCCCACCCGGUGCCCCCCAGGGGCCGCCAGCCCGCAGCUCACCGGCUGUCCCCGGAGCCUCCCCGGCGGAGGAUGCGCGGCCCCGGCCCGGUAAGUGCCGCGCCCCCAGCCCCCCCCGCCUGCCCGCAGCUCUCACCUCCAUCCCCCUCGUCCCGGCCGCCGGCGGGACCCGUGCCGGUGCCUCGGCCCCUCCCGCCGUCCCGGGGGCCAGCAGGACGGACCGGGGGUGCGGGGGGCUCCUUCCCCUCCCUCCCCUCGCGGCGGGGCUCCCCCGGCGCCGCUCGGUGCUGCGGGCACCGGGCAGAGCCCCCCCGGGAGGGGCCGGCCCCGCCGCCCGGUGCCCCCCACCCGCUCCGUGCGCCCCGGGCGGCUGCGGCACCGCCGCCGUGCCCGCUGCUCCCGGCCGUGCCCGGCCGCACCGGGGCUGCGCGGGGAGGAGGCGGGGGGCGGCGCGUCCGCCCCCGGUUUGCUGCGGGGAGCGGCGGGGAGGGGGGGCGAGAACGGGCGGGCGUCCUGCCGGCCGCCUCCGCGCGUGGCCGUGGGCGAGGCGCGUGGCCGCGUGCCCCCGGCCGGGUGCGGAGCCCCGGGGGUCCGCGUGCGCGCACGCCGGGUGCGCCCGUCCCGGGGUGGGGGCGAUGCGGGCAGCGCCGUGAGAGGGUCCCCGGGGGUGUGCGUGUGCCCCGGCUGCGGCUCCGUCCCGGCACGCGUGGGCACAGCGCCGGGGGGGCUGCGGGAGGGGUGCGCGGCUCUGCCCCGCCUGUGCCACGGUGCCCGGCGCCACUGAGGGCAGCCCAGCAGGGAGAGGGCUCCCCGGGGGGGGCUGUGCUGUCCCCAGCCAUGGGGGCUGGCAGGGCUCGGGGGGGCGCAGCCAGGAGCAAACGGGGCAGAGCCCACGGCUGGACCUGCCUGGGGCGGGGUUGGGCUGAGCCCCCCGAGCUCCACCUGACAGAAAUGUGCCCCCGGGGUCUGUGUGCGCAGGGGGCUGCCCAAGUGCUGUGUUGCAGGGGGAAGCCAGAGGCCGUGUGGUGCCUCCCCUUGGGGUCCAGCUAG
rnacentral:lncRNA from 1 species